GAUAUACUCCCUCCGCUCCAGAAAUAUUUGUCAUCAAAAUGAAUAAAAGAAGAUGUAUCUAGACAUAUUUUAAUUCUAGAUACAUCUUUUUUAUCCAUUUUGAUGACAAGUAUUUUCCGACGGAGGGAGUAUGUA
rfam:Triticum aestivum genome assembly, contig: Triticum_aestivum_CS42_TGACv1_scaffold_646040_T_1BL-0.070129_3DS-0.042245